rnacentral:tRNA from 1 species
GUUAUCGUGGCCGAGUGUUUAAGGCGAUGGACUAGAAAUCUUUUGGGAUCUUCCCGCGCAGGUUCGAAAUCUGCCGACAUCG